AGUCUUCUGUUUAUCCAUAGAACAGAUACAGCAGUAUAAGCUCCCUUGAUGUGCCCUGAGAUGUGACUCAACCUUGAUCUAAAUGGUCCUCUGGAGAUGAAAGUAGACAU
rnacentral:sRNA from 1 species